ACGGAGGGGGCUAGCGUUGUUCGGAAUUACUGGGCGUAAAGCGCACGUAGGCGGCUUUGCAAGUUAGAGGUGAAAGCCCAGGGCUUAACCCUGGAAUUGCCUUUAAAACUGCAUCGCUGGAGUGCGGCAGAGGGGGAUGGAAUUCCGCGUGUAGCAGUGAAAUGCGUAGAUAUGCGGAGGAACACCGAUGGCGAAGGCAAUCCCCUGGGCCUGCACUGACGCUCAUGCACGAAAGCGUGGGGAGCAAACAGGA
rnacentral:rRNA from 1 species